rnacentral:lncRNA from 1 species
GAAGAGCAGUAACACUCAUGAGAAUGAUCAGCCCCUACAGCCACAUCCUCCUUUACAGUUUUGACAAAAUACCCUUAUAUACCAUCUGAUGUAAUGCCACCAACAACCGUACAAGGUGUUGUCACAAUCAGUGACUGAGAGGGAUUCAUAUCAUGGAUAGAAAAAAAAAAAAAGAAAGAUCAAAAAAGGCAAUACUGGAACUUAAACUCAGUCCUCUGACUCCACGCUCUGGGGUUUUGCCAUGAAUCAGCAGCUUCCAGGGACCAAAACCAGGGGCAGAGGUAGAAAAGCACACAUUAAGCAGGCAGGAACUGUAGGCCGUGUGGUUUAGAGUCAUACAUCCUCACAGGUCUGCUAGCGUGAAGAAGCGUACCAGUACCUCUCACACUUUCAUAUCAAUGUGUCCUCAUGGCAGAAGGCAGCUUUUCUAUUAAAUCUGGGAAUUUAUCAGAAAGAGGACAACCCAAGCCUCAUUUCAGAGCAAAGUCUGGUAUACGCUUGGAAACCUAUGUGUCUGUCAUCCCCAAGUACAUUAAUGCAUUUUCUCAAGAGAAUCAAGGGAAAAUGAUGCUUCAGAAAGAUGUCCCGCAUUUAUCCUGUGGCACUCAAAGUACCCCAGGUUGAGACGAUAUGAGGAAGAUUCAAGCUGUCAAGUUCAGUUUCCCAAGAUCUAUUCCACAGAAGAUGAGCAAAUCUCACUUCAGAGGCCACUGACUGAAGGGCAGUCUGGUCCCAGAACCGUGGAGAACUCAGAAAAAAAUGUUAAAGUCUCUCUGGAAAGUAGAAGCCUGGGAAAAAACCAAACCAAACCCAUUCUCCCAUUGCCACCCAGAGAUACUGUGAACAUUUUGAGCUCACAGGGGAAGUGUAGGCUUUUCCCACUGUCAAUGUCUAUGUUAAGGGAGUAAGGCAGCCUGAAACCUCUUGCUCCUAGGUCCCAUAGUCUCCACUCCCCUUCCAGCUGGAAAUUUGUGCUGCAACCAGAGGAACCAGAAAUGGGGUGAGAAAACUUAGGGGACUGGGUUGUAAGAUCAAAGGCUGGUCUUGCAGCAGUAAUGACAGUUCCUAGGGGCACUGUGACAUCAUUGCAUUCCACUCCUCCCAGGGGAGGGGACCACAUCAGCGCGAUGCCCGAGUCGCUGCUCCACGAUGGGGGAGGGAAACACACGGUUUCGACCCAGGUCCUCAGAGACGCCAGCCCAAGAAGCCUAGGGAGGUCGAGCUUGGGGCAGCAGGAGGGGAGGGCAGAGUCUGCAGUAGGGAGCCCCGGGAGUCACCAGCCCAAAGCCACCCAGGGAUGACUGUCACCUACCAGGCAGCUGUGCAACUGAGCCACAGGUGGCGUAACCAGGGCACCAAUGGAACGCAGAAUAGGGGCGUGGCCUUAAUGCUCCAAGCCCAUUGGUCAGUGAGAAAGAUGAAAGGGAAAGGAGGCGUGGCCAGGCGCAGCAUGUCCAGAGGGACCUGUGGCAUCAUAAGGAAAGCUGCCCAUGCAACCGCUGUCCCCGCCCACUCAGAGAAAGGGGAGGGGCCGCCCACUCUGGGAGAGGGGAAGGGCUGGGUUUUGCUUUAAAACUUUUAAAACUGUAAAAAAUAAACUUUAAAAAAUA